rnacentral:rRNA from 1 species
CACGGGGGGAGCAAGCGUUGUUCGGAAUCACUGGGCGUAAAGGGCGUGUAGGCGGUUCGGUAAGUGGAAUGUGAAAUGCUCCGGCUCACCCGGAGUACUGCAUCCCAAACUGCCGAGCUUGAGUAUGGGAGAGGAUGAGGGAAUUCCUGGUGUAGCGGUGAAAUGCGUAGAUAUCAGGAGGAACGCCGGUGGCGAAGGCGAGUCUCCGGACAUUUCCUGACGCUGAGGCACGAAAGCCAGGGGAGCAAACGGG